GACGAACGCUGGCGGCGUGCUUAACACAUGCAAGUCGAGCGGUAAGGCCCUUUCGGGGGUACACGAGCGGCGAACGAGUGAGUAACACGUGGGUGACCUGCCCUCAGCUCUGGGAUAAGCCUGGGAAACCGGGUCUAAUACCGGAUAUGACUCCAUGACGCAUGUUGUGGGGUGGAAAGCCUUGUGCGGCUGAGGAUGGGCCCGCGGCCUAUCAGCUUGUUGGUGGGGUGAUGGCCUACCAAGGCGACGACGGGUAGCCGGCCUGAGAGGGCGACCGGCCACACUGGGACUGAGACACGGCCCAGACUCCUACGGGAGGCAGCAGUGGGGAAUCUUGCGCAAUGGGCGAAAGCCUGACGCAGCGACGCCGCGUGAGGGAUGACGGCCUC
rnacentral:rRNA from 1 species